CGAUCGAAAAGUAGUCGUUUUUUGUUAUUUUCCUUGAACCUAUCUACGUGACUUUACCGAAAGACCCAAAGAAUAUGAAUUCCUGCAGUCGCGAAAGCUUUAAGGUUCAUUAAACAAUUGGAGAUAUCUUCCGGAUGGACACAGCUGGAAAACAAAGCGGAAAACGUUUACUGAGGAUAGCCCCUGAAAGCAGAUCAGAAACAAAAUGAUAAAAUAAGAGAGGUGGGAGAGAGCAUGUCGGAGUGCUUUUAGAAAACUGAAUUUGAUGCUAAAUAGCAAAGCACCCGUUUACCAAAACACUAGUUUCCCUUCCACCGCACCUCCGAUUGGUGCGCUUGGCUACGUACGGUGCGAAAGAAGUUCAACAUACAUCCAUCCAUACAAAGUUUUGCAUCGGUGUGUACUGCCUGCUAAGACUUAUUUAUCAUAAACAUGGAUAUUCAUUCAGAAAAUCUGGUGGGGGGGGGGGGGAACCUGAACAGUGUGCUAAGUAUAUGUAAAAAAAUACCUACCUUGAAUACAACUUACCUGUGGAUUGAACAUAGCUGAUAAUGAUGAUGAAGAAUAUAACAUGUUAAAUUAAAAUAAAGUUCCCUUUCAUCCCUCACGUUUGAAUGUCUCUGUACACGAGUGACAUUCAUGAUGCUAAUGCGCGUGUAUACGCCCACUGUGCACCAGAUUUUUUUGGCGGAAUAUAAUAGGUCAUGGGUGUUUCUGAGCUGCUCAGCCAAAAUGCAACCAUAUCCACAUUCCUCAGUGCACGACAACGCUGUAUCAUGUUGGUGGGAUAACUGAUCGGAGGAUAUUUGAGUUUUAUAUAUUGGCCACUCAAAAUAUAUUUGUAUUGCUUUUAGCAACGUUUUCCUUCACUUAAUCGGCCACCUGUGUUUUCCGCCAAUGGAGGCGUGUGUAAUGUGGCAAAAGUAGCACGUUAGAGCUCCUAUAAUUGUAGUUUCUGUAAGAGCAUGUUUAAACACGCUUACUUCAAUACCAUGCUUGCAGCAAAUGUGUAUGGGCACUUCCCAAGUACAUUUUUUUCCUGCAGAUCCGUGUUUGUGUGCGUUGUCUGUAUGCUCAAGCAGGUAUAGUGUGUGUGUGCUUGCACAUACACGUAGGUAAGCUCAACAUAUCUCUUCUUGUACAUGACUGCAGGGAUACUGCGCCAAUAUUUCUGUUACCGACCUGCCCAUCGCUUGCUAUAACAUUAUCCUGUUGAUAGUCUUAUAGGGAUGAAUAAUAUACUUUCGUUAUACAGGUACAUUUUUUUGUGAGUGGGUUAAAAAAAAGGAACAAUUGUGCAAAGUAUUUAAAAAUAACACCGGCUGUCAGUACUUUUAUGUAAUGAAAUAGUCUUUAGCAAUUCAGGGACUAAUACAGCGCUGUAAGCUUCAUCCAAAAUGUAUAUUUCAUAUGGUACUGGAGAUGUUUGAAGUACUAUAUACAAGAUGGUUUAAAAUGUUCUAAAAAAAACAGAAAUAGAGUAUAGCGUCGUGCUAAAUGUUGGGACGGUUCAGUACAAAUAUCAAUAGACCGUUCUGUCCUAAAAAUGUAUUGUUCAGCACAAUCCCAAUAUAAUUACACAUCGCUGAACAUUACAGCUGACCCAUCCAAUAUGGAGGGAAUGGCUAUUAAAAGUUAAAAUAACCAAAACCCAAAAUAUGUAUGCCUAACUGCACACAACCCACUCCCAUUUAUGCACUACCAAUUAAGAAAUUGCUUGAGCCGUGCAAAUGCUGUAUUCUGAGUAUAUAAAGCUUUUAAUGUAGUCAUAAUCUGAUUGACUGGUCUGCAUGCUUUAUCCGAAUAUAUGAAUAACCAUCACGCAUCAACACACGUGCAUUGCUGAGUUGCCAAAAGCUCCAUGCAGCAAGCUAACGUAUCUGCCGUUGUCCUUAGCACGUUCCUUUGGUCAUCCUUGAACUGUGAUGUACUGAAAGCAUAAAAUAAUUUUUCAAUGGUGUGGAAUUCUCCAAUGCUUUCUAUCAUAUAAAGCAGUCUUUGUGCUGGGAAUUUGGCAGAGUUGAAGAAAAUGUAGGCACUGCUUGUUUUCAUCACUUUGUGUCCUGCUCGUACAGUGUCUGAAAAAUGGGCGAGUUUUUUUGUUUAAGUUAAGGUGAAUAUUUUAAAGGACGAGAGACCAAGGGGCACAUUUCCGAGUAGUCAUCUUAUCUUAACCGAAUUUAUAUAGCGCCUUAAGCAAGGCGCUUUACAAAGAAUUAACAACGGUACUACAUAUGAAUGUAAUGGUGGAGGUGAGGUGAAUGAAAUAGAUGAGAGGAAGCAAUGGGGGGGGGGGCAAAUUUGUGUUGCGUGCAUUCGGUGAAAGUGAAAUUGAUGACAGUAGAUGAUGAUGAAUGGAUUGAAUGCAUGAGGAACGAGUGAGAAUAUGAAGAGGGAACAGUAACGGAGGUGGUUUAUGAGGGGAAGAUUAAGGGGUCGUGGGGUGAGCUCGUGGACAAUAAGUGAGUUUUGAGUGCGAAGCGGAAACUAGUGAGCGAAGGUGACUGCUUAAUUUGGAGGGGGAAGUUUGUUCCAGUGAAAGGGGGGGGGAGAAGAGACAGAACGAAAGCGUGGAUUGAGUACAAGGAGGAGGAGGAACAGAGAUAGACUUUAAGGGAUGUGCAUAAGCACACACCUCUUAUUUUUAAUGACGUGUGGUUUGAAUUUUGGAAAGGUCUGUGCCUCCACGAGCUUGUGCCAAGGACCAAAGCUGUUGAAUGACUCCUUUGUGUGUAGGCCGCAUGCUCAUCUGGGGAUUACCAAAGAUUUCUGGCAACUUACCAAGGGCCUGCCUCGGUCCAUAUUAUUCUUCCUGAAUAGGCUUGAUUCCUGCGGCCCUAGCCUACAUCUUGUUUACACGCACCCUUCAAGCCAUGAACCUUUAUCUUUUGUAAUAUUUUGAGAGUUGGUCGAAUUAUUGAAGUGACAAAUUACUAAUAUUUCGUAAUUUUUUGCUAAACUUUUGAAUUGAGUUUUUUCAUUGUUUAAAGUGUUCAUCAUAGUUGCAUGGGAUAUUGGAAUUCUUGCUAUUAUUUGUCAGCACUUAACGAACGCUAUUGUUCAGUGAUGCAGUCAUGAAUGCGCAGCCACAGGGUAGAGAGUAAAAUACAGCAAUAAGUGUAAACUGUGUAUUGUAUAGAUGGUUGUGUUUAAGAGUGGUUUGUAAACCUGUGUUGUACAACAUAUCUUAUACAUCUACGGUAUUAAAUGUGUAUGCUUGGUUACCACAAUACGUGCCUUUUGUUGUAUUGCGAUGGUAUUGCUUAUUUGAUAUGCAAGAAAACAACAUUCUUUUUGGUUUCGGUAGGUUACAAUAACUGCACAAUGUGUACUGUCUCGGUUAAAAAAAGCAUUCCUCUUGGAAAAUGUCUCGCUUGCUUAUGGUUAUGUAGCACGGAUUAACUUGGGAUGUUGCAGUGAAGGGUUUCUAUUUAGGUCAUGGGUCUUAUAUUUAUUUUGAGUACAAUUAGCAAAUUGAAAUGCUGAAAUGUUCUUAAAAUCUAAUAUUGUAUUCAUGUUCGUUAAGUGCAUCAUAUGUGCAUGGUGCGUGAAAGCAACACUGAAUAAAACAUGAGCACAACACACUUUGUAGUAAAUAACCAUUGCACACCGGUCAAUAUGUGCCUUUGAACUUAAAUUAAAGAAGGUUAGCAGUGGUAUUAUUUAAUAUUUUAAGCUUUCUAAAACCAAUUAAAAUUAUAUUUUCUUCUCUGUAGAAUGGUGCCUUGAAAUCAGUCCCAAAGUUGGGAUUUUAUUUUUGUGUUUGCCAAGAAUUAGUACGGUAGUUGGAGUAGAGCUCCUGUAGUCUGGUAAUUCUCGACCAAAGUUUGUAUUUUAUAAAACGCGAACCUGAAAAGCAAAUCACUCGUGGUUAAAUGUAUGGUAAAUUUGAUCAAAUUAGGUCACAUUGAAUAAGAUCUGUAAAAACACUUUGUUGAUUAUAAUGGGUAUAAGUCUAUAAUUAAGGACAUGCGGGAGCUGUAGAGCAGGGAUGUAUAAUGAAAAAACCAUCAUGGAAUAAUAUACAUAUAUAAAAUAAACACAUCUAAUAUACUGUACAAGUAUGCAUUUAAUGCAAUAUAAUAAGCUGUGUUUAAAUUUUGUCCAUCGGGGUAGUGUCCUCUACAAUCUAUUUCAACAUUUUUCAAGUUGACUGUAUAUAUCACCAUGUUUGUUUUCUAGUUGAACGAUAGACCUCCCCCAAACGAGCACAUUAAUUCAGCAGUUCCUCAGAUUGUUUAAAUUACACAACACUGUGCGGUUAGAUUCAGCUGCUUUUAUGGUUUACGGUGAUGGCUCAUUUAUAAGCAUAUUGACGAAGGCAACGAAAGGCGCUGAAAUGGUCACAAAUAAACCUUUGGAGAGAUGGACACAUGCUUAGAAUGACAGUACACUGAGUGGCAAAAUAUAGGAACGCAUGGAUUACAUUUACCCCCUCCAUUUAAGACUGAAACGGGAGGAUUUUUUUGACAGUUGUGGCUGUCGCCUGAUGAGGCUGGUUGUAUUUGCUGGCGAAACGUCGUGCCCGAAUUGUAAAUGACGUGGGUUUACCCUCCAAAACAUUGGUCGGCUGAACUGGUAACUAAUUGGCAUGUGUUUUGUUUACGUGACAAACCUUACGAAUUGGCUGUGUCGCGUGGUGGGGGGUUUAAUUGCACAUUUAUAUGCGAUCUAACCUAAAAAAAACUCUUGUGGAUAACUUAUGUGGCUGAAAAUCAUAAUUUUUACUUAAGAAAAGCCAGUGUGCUUGGGGAGGAUGAUGGCCAGUGGCCGAGACUCAUGACGGCCAAGUGAGAGAACAUCACCGAGCAGACAUCCACCGAAGAGAUUAAGCAAUGACAUCGGUUCGUGUGUGGGUAAUAGGUGGAUUGUAACAUUGCAGGACAGCGAGAGGUGGCAAUUGGCUUGGGGAGCACUUCAACCAGCAGUGGAUUGAUCAUGGCUGAUGAGGAUGAUGUUGAUUAUUAUUGAUUCCUAUAUACAAUUGACAUUGUUGGAGAAAUACCUUUGCAAUGUAAUGCUAUUUGAGACCAAAUUGGUGGGGUCAGGUGUGAUGCAGUGGUUAGCCCACUGCACUCUGAACCCAGCUACCUGCAUCUAAUUCUCAGCCCUUGCGAAUAUUGGUUGCGAGUGAUAUCCAAACUAGUCCUGGGUGUUUCAUUUACCAAUCCGUAGUGACCUGUGUUUUAAAUUAGGGUUAAAGAGCCUCCAUGAUUUAUGUGGCAUGGGCAGACCUUCAUCGAGCAGUGAGAGUGUCACAUCAAUGUACUGAAUAUAUAAUAUAUUAUUGCUGAUAUACGUGAUGUCUCCGUAGUGAAGCAUCAUAAUUCACAAUAUAACCUCAUGUCUGCUUUGCUUACGUAUUAAAAUAUAAUUUAUAAUUAGUCUGUCCCUUGGGCUGGCAUUGUUGACAUCUGUGUUAGAGAGUACAGUAACACUGCGAUCUAUACAUAGUAUGUUUUACAUACACUCUAUCCCAGUUUAAAAUUGUGAAUGAAUGUUCAAACGAGUGACAAUUAUGUAAAACACUGAGCCUACACUAAAGUCAUUGACAUGUUAUUUGUGCUUACAUUAUUUUGGAUGUAGUGGGGUUUUUUUCCCUCCCACGGACAACUAUGGUACAAUAUUGUAGCUGUAAAAAUAUCAAUAAACAGUACUGCAUUGAUGAUUUUUUUACUUUGGUUUCUCGGCAUUAAAACGAUAAAGACACCGAUAAGCUCAGAGUAUAUAUUUAUUUCCCGGGAUUGUAGCACAAAAUAAAGCAAGGCAUUUGCUUUCCUGGGAAAUUUAGGGGUUUAAAAAUGCGAGUAGUUCAAGUCACAAUGCCGCAGUGGAUGCUGGGAUGUUGUCACAACGUUUGCGUGAAAAGGAGUCGCUUUGCUACAUUGCAAAACGAUAACACAUUUCAAACACUAUUGUGUUUCCCUCCUACACAAGAGAGACCGCCUACCACUUGUGUAGGCGUGUUGACACACGGGAUGGCACAAUACUGUACGAUUAUAAUGUUUAUUUAGACUGGAGGAGGAAUCCGAUGAGCUAUGAAGCUCUUUUUCACAGAUGCCCAUAGGGGCGAGUCAGUAAGUCACGAUACAUGCAGCACAAUGUAGUUUUACCAAAGUAAAAAAAACUCAUUUGCCGUAGUGCCACAUAAAUUUACCGUAAUAAAAAAAUGUACAGCCCUUAGUGAAUUCACUUCCGGUUUAAGAGGCCUACCCACGUUUGAUAAAGGCGGGUUGUUUGACCAUACUUCACCAUUCCGAAUUGAGGGUAAGCGUAGAAAUUUUAUUUUAGCUGAUCAUUAGGACUCAGAGGUAAAGUGGCAUCGGUGGUAUUGUUCAAAUAAAAAGGGGCUGUUACUUUAUACAGUGCAUUUUAUUUAAACGUAGUGUUCCCGUUAGCAUUUUCAUCGCAGCAAGUGACCUCCAAUAUGCAUCACAUUCCUAUUAAUAUUUAAUCAUGUACAAUGUUACACUUAAGAGUAAUGCAGUUUGUAUAGCCUACGGAUAUAUAAAGACCGAAGCUGCACUAAAAAUAAUACUGCCGGCUCAAUGUAAAAGCCAUAAAAUCCACCACCAGUGGCAAAGUUCAGAAAGUUGACAUCCCCUUCGGAUGAAAACACAUACACUUGAGAUAAGAAACAGUGUGCCCAUCGGACAUCCUGAUAAAAGUACACACCUUUUAAAGGAGUAAUUGUCCUCAAGGCUAUCCAGAGUGACUAAAAGCCUACAAUUUGUAAAAUGUGCAAUUGCCUAAAAAAAGCUUCGGACAGAACGGUGUUAAGGUAAUGUAUUGGCGCUGUACCUAAAAUAUCAGUUUCUAUCAGGAACGAGCUCUCCUUGCUAUCGCAGUGAGACACGGUGCCGAGACACGGUGCCGAUCGCCGAUACAACCCCGAAGAGUUGGGGGGGGGGAGAUAAUUUUGUGGCAAAAACCUGGCCUCCUGUCAACGGAAUGUGUCAACUAACCCCCCCCCCCCCCCAUUAAAGACCUAAAGUUGGAACACGCCGUUAUUGACUUCGGGGGGGGGGGGGGGGGGGUUACGUGGUCACCGCAGUUGGCAAACCCACGCAUGUGACACGGCGACGGAGGAAGAACGAGUUCAUCAGUCGGCGGAUUUGUACCGAGUAUCCUACACGGCGUUGGUGUUUUCUCUCUGUACGAGACCACCGAGCGAAAAGCCGCUCUCUCGCCCGCUGCGCGCGCACGUACGCGCGCACACCUCGCAGGCCCCCGCACACUUCCUGAAAUAGAAAUUAUUAAUUGCGGGCUGUCACACGACACCCACUCCUGACAUGCCUUCUUCCGAUCGCCAUGGCGACGCCGGGGUUAGAGCGUUGUGCAGUGUUCCUGGCAGCAAACCUCCCCCCCCCACCCAAUCCCCUUCUUUCUUUCUCUCUUCCUCCCCGGGCUAAUUGACCACAUCAGGCAGCUGCUAUCAAGUGUACCGCGCACUUCUGGUAAAGGUCUGCGUUUCUGUUCUGGGAACCGCAUUUUAUUUGCGGUGCUCCUGGGAGCAUUCCAAAUUUUUUUUGUGAGUCCUGGGUAUGCAGUGACUAAUGCGCCGUGAAAGGCAUGGAUCGUGAGAUAUAAAAAGUAAGUCACGUAAAGGGAAAUUAUUUUAAGAAAUCAAUCGAUUAAUUUAUUUAUCGCGAAAUGACAAGACCAAACAUUCUUACGUGAUGUCGUAAUCACUUUAACCUAGGUUUGCUUAAGGAUUGUACUUUAUGAUGUAUUUUGUGUACAAAUGCAAUGACAUCAAAUGUAACGCGUGGUAUUACUGUUCAGGGAGUAGGAGGUUGUCAUAUUAGUCGGCCUGUUCUAUGAAUGGUGUAUUCCAAAAUGAGAUCCAAGCUGAAACGCUUGGCUGUCACAGUUGUUGUUUCUCUCAGCCUCUCAUCCGUGAGCAACAGCUUGCGUCAGCUGAGGACAGGCUCGCAUUCCCAGGCAGUGAUGUGUUUAAUAAUAAACUAAAUGUUUUAAAUAGGCCAUCCGUACAUCAGAAAUGUAAAAAGUUGUCUUCUUUUUUCAAUUUUUUUUUCUAAGAACAUCUUAAACCUAUAAAGACUUCACUUUUUCAAUGGUGAGUCUCUAUUUUUCCCAAACUAUUUACCUCUUUCCUAAUACAUGCUGCAAUCGGUAUAAUAAAAUAUCAGUUAACAUUGUUUUGCGUUCUGGAUGAAAUGAUACAUACAUGUAGUGGUCAUAUCCCCAUACUUUAGAAUGCCAAAGAUAUCCCAUUAAAUUAAAUGAUUUUUGUGUCAUAAUUUCGUCAUCAUUUUCCUCGGCAACAUUUACUUCUUGACAUUUAGGUGUUGACAUUUUUGCGAGUAAUGUCAAGCAAUAUGGACGUACUCUUCACAUCCCCCAUGGUUCACAUUUCUUCGUACAUACUCAAGCCAGUGGGCAUGUUUGGAUAGGAGAAAGUAUAUGAGGCUUUUUAUGUUUUGUUGUAACCUUUGCAGUGGCAGGUUACAAAUUAUGGCAAAAAGGGGCUGCUCACCCUCAAAUGACAAAUUUAGUGAUCUAUGGGUUUUUUUUAAAAUGAGAAAUUCCUUCAAAUAGAGUGAAUUCUUAUUAUAAAACUGUGCGAAAGGUGUGAGUUGAAUUAAGUGAACAUUACCCAAUGGAAUGGUAGCUGUACCUGUGUGUCACACAGGUUUUUAGAUGAUUUGAAAGUAAUAUCGUAAUAUUGUUUUCAUAUAAAAGUCCAGUCGUGGUGUCAAACAUUCAAGCUCGGCUUAUAUAUCGGUGCAUCAAUUAAAAUUGAUUCUUAGAUGUGUCAAAUCGUGCGUGUAGGAAUAUAGUACGGUAUUUUAUUAGAUUUGUGUCAAAAAUAUUACAAUUAUUUAGAAGCUACAUGAUCAAUCCACAGCUUGGUGAAGUUCUCCCACACACUAAAUCGGGCCUCGGGUUUUUUUGACCAUCACAGCUUUAAAGCUAUUUUUCACAGAUGUCCAGUCGACCAUGCCGUUCAGAUCCGGUUGGUGAAGUGGGCAGAGGUCCAGGACUGGCUAAAAUAUCACCUGCCACUUAUAUCAGCUGUGGACGAGGAUCGAACUCAGAUCGCCAGGUUGACAGCACGGUGUCCUCAUCACUGGGCCACAAUACUGUGUAUUAAUUGGUUUACGUAAGCCCAUGCAGUGACUUAUAAAAUGUAAUGCACGUCUUGAAUUGUUUUGUAACCUAACAUCGUGACAAUUAAAUCAAGAGGGUGGGAGGGAAAUUAGAACAUGCUUAGUAGAAAUACUGAACUCACCAGAAUAAUGUGCCCGAUCUCAUCAGAUCUUGAAAGCUAAGCAGGUUUGAGCUUGAAUCAGGUUGGGGAUUGGCUUCCACCAUGCAUAAAAACAGGUGUUACAGGCUGAUGUGGGGUUACUUUAUGGGUCAUAGAGGGCGAUACAAUAACAUUAAUUGUUAAGAUAAUUGCUAACACCAACCUGCACUGACCAACACGGUGAAGUAUGGUCACCGACCAGCGUGGUGAAGUAUGGUCAGAUAAAUCAGGGAUACCGGGAUGAAAUAUCCCAAUAUCCCCGAUUCGCCGAAUUUCCCUGCAGGACAUUGUGUAUGAGCAAGGCAUGAGAUAGCAGCUGUGGCGCACGAGCUUGAAACGUAAUACCCAUUUAAAACGGUGCUGAUGUAAUGUUGUUGAUUACCUUGUUCAAUCAGCAGUAUAGAAUCUCUUUGUUAAGGCAAUUCGCAAGGCCAUAUGGAAAAUGAAAAUUGAAGAUAUCUUUGCACUUUACAGUCCCCCCUGAAGGUUAUUGAUUUAUGUCAGUGUCUUUUUCCAUGCAAAUAAGACUCCGCAUUCUUCAUAUUUAUUUCGACUGUGCUUUGUUAUUAUUUAUUUAGUUUGAAUAAUGGAAAUACAUGUAAUGCGAUUUUGUAAAUGCGGAUAUUUUGAGGACAGCAACUGGAUGGUUUAAAGGUCCUCUAAUAAACAUGAGAGUAGAUCUACUUUGUGAGCGUUUUUUAAACGAAGCCAUUAUACGCCUUAUUAAAAUAAUGUAUUCAGAUUCAUUGAGCCAAACCUUAGGAAUUGUAUUAAUCACUCAACGAUGACAUUCUAUUGUGCUAUUAGAAUCUUUGUAUCUACCUUUAUUUUACUGCUGCUUGAGAACUGAGCUAUUCAUUCGAUUUCAUUUAUUUAUAUUGUGUUCUCAUUACACCAUACUGAAGUCAUUUAGUACAUGCCAUGCCUGCACACGUCCAGAUGAAUCCACAUUAAGCUGUUUGAUUACUGUGGUCCUCUAUGCAUAGUAAAUAAUAAUGAGCAUCAAUACCGCCCUAUUAAAACUAUAUAUAUUAUCACGAGCGUCAACGGAAUUCAUAAAAAUGGUAGUGUUGGACAUAAUGCACACGAUAUUUUUCCAGUGUAAUGUGAAAUGUCAUUUCGCACUAUUAUUGUUUGAUGUAUUGUGAAAACAUCGUAUCGUAACCCCAUGCCUCUAAGUAAUAAUUGCCCCCGUGUAAGUCUACGACAAGGAGAUUGCAUUCAACUUGCACACUGUUGCAGGUAUGAGUGAUGGAGAAAUAAUAAAUGUUAAACCCAACUGUAUAUUUGCCAACUCUCUCAGGGCCAACAGUGGGUCCAUGACCACCCGCUCAAAAUCUCUGCACCCACAACCCCUGCACUUGUAACGAGCGUCGUGUCACAUCCUUCAAGACAGUCGUCGGGGACUAGAGCCAAUAAAGAAAAGUUGUGUGCAGCCUGAAUUUAUUUUUAACCCGUAGCAAACUUGUGCACGUUGCUAGUAUUUUACUCUCCAUAUAUCUCUAAGUAAACAAAUAACGACAGAAGGAUGUAUUUAAGUGUAUACGUUUAAGCAUUGGUUUUCAAGAAAAUUUCCCUCCCCCCUAAUGCAUGAUGCAGGGUCACGAUUCUAUUUAAGGUACACAAUGCAGUAGAUUAUAUUAUUUGAGAUGUGGUUGGGUGAUUCAGAGUAUUGGUUGUCACCGCUGAGAUUCUGGGUUCAAAUCAGGCUCUUGUAUGAUUAAACGGUUCUCAAGUGUAGUGAGUUGAUGGUCUCAAUGACUGCACAACAAAAUUCCAGCUCAGAAUUAAAUGUCAGUGUGACUGUCAUGUGCAAAUAUUACUCUCAUAUGCAGAGUGGGUGGAAGAGUGUUUCCCUCUACUGUGUGAACCAGAGGUCGAUUGAAGGGAUCUCAGAGUUAGAUCUGUGAUAUCCGCUUACUUUGGCUGUUCUCUUCACGGCAACAGGAAGAGUUUCACUGCUCUGUGAGAGAUCCAGAUGGAUGCUUUGUCCUGGACAUGAUAACGAUAACACACCGGGGAUAGGGGAUAAAAGUGGAGAAAAAUACAAAUGCUAUUUUUUAAAUAGAUGUAUAUUGUUUAACAUUUAAUGUAAAGUUUACGUACGCUAUGUUGCCAGUUCAGUUAAGGCCACGAUUAAGGCAGUAACUAUAUAAUGCAUGUUAGUUAGCUACCAUGGUUAUUAUCAUCAGCUUAAUACUAUAUGCUCGGAUGGGAGGGUCUGAGAUUCCAAUGUGGCUUCAGUUCCCACGUUCCCUAAGCUUAUGUUUUUUUUCAUUUGCAUUUAAUGGAUAGGUUAAUGCCCAUAACCUUAAAUACAUGAUUGCAAGUGCAGGUUAAGAACACAGCCAAAGUAAGGACAUUUUUUUUCACCCUUCAUUGAAUGUUUAAUUUAGUUGUGAAGUUUAUAUUUAAGAUAGCUGUUAGGAUGAUACCUUGCUAACCCAUGGUAAGAAAAUGGCUCUUAAUGCAGUUCUGUAUAUACAAGUUGAAACAGUAAAACAAACGUUGAAUCUGGUGUGGUUCAGCAAAAUUAAUGCUGGCACUAACUUCGUGGUAUUUUUCUGCAGUUGUUUUGAUGAUAAAAAAGUUAAUAUUAACCUAACCUAUAAUUAGUGUGGCAUGCAUCCAGUUGCUAAUACUGUGUACCUAAAGGUUUUUGCAAUGGUGUGAUACGAUUUCUGCUCUUCUGCAUAUAUUUUUUUAUUUUUUUAUUUAGAGUUAAAAUAUGCAUUCCGUAAUUUAAACUUCACAAUAAAUUUCUCAAGUACUCUUCUCUCAGCUUUUGAGUGCAGGGGAAUAGCACCAGACUAUAUUUUGUAUGAAUGCUAAGAAGUGAUAGCAAAAGUUUACUCAACCAUCCGCUAAAAGUUUUGGAAUACGGUACAUUGCAUGCUAUCGAUGCUACCUUAAUAUAACUUUCUUUGAUAUUUCGAGCCUACAUAUUUAUGUAGGUAGGAAAAUAAAAUUCAAAAUUAAGUAAAUAUUGCAGUCACAUGUUAACAUUUGCCUUAUUUAAGUUAAGUGCAAAUGCAUCUUUUUUUUACAAACGAUUUUACCAUAAAAUUUAAGAAAGGAUAGGUAGCGUGCACAUAUUUGUGUGCAGCCCGUAGCGUGCACAUAUUUGUGUGCAGCCCUCAUCAAUCCACUGCUGAAUUAGGACCUCACAACGUGCGGCUUGUGGGAGUUACUUUACCAUACUUAUAGGUGUUAUAUAAUUUCGCGUCAAAAUAGGACCCAUUUCUUAAAGUGAGGGUCCUUGCCUAUAACAUCUGACAGUUUUACCAGAAUUGAUUCAAGUAAGCUUGAUGAGACAUUGUCCAAACCAGUCCAGGGUUUGCUUCUACUGAAUCCAUUCUGCUGAAAUUGUGCACUCCCAGAAGGCUGUUGGGCCGGUGGGUUGUGUAAUAAAUAUUUGGUAUGUUUUGAGACAGAUAUAUGACGGAGACAUUGCUUGCCUCUUUGUUUUUCAAAUUAUAGCACAAGAGACACGAUAGCAGUUUAUUACAGUGUUGUCUUGUAGUUUAAUGUCUAUUUGUUUAGUGUUUAUUAUGGUGGUGCUAGAACUAUUCUAAAAUUUAACACUGUUGUCAACAUUUACUAAUUCUUUUAAUUUUAAUUACCAGUGAUUUGUAGGUUGAUAUUGCUACCUCUAGAUAUACUUUUUUAAUUAUGCAGUACAAAUACAAGCUCCUAAGUCUGCUCCGAGGAAUAAAAUGAAAGACUUCUGAGAUCACUGUUUUGUUUUUUGUUGUCGUUUGUAAACUAUAAAAAUUGUUCUGGCAACAAAUGGGAUUAGAAACACAUUCUCUACCCUAUGAGAUUGUAGAUAAUUAACCUGGCUGCCAAGUUGAACAGGCUUGAUUUUUAAGCAGGUCUUGCAUUCAGUAGGAAACUCUAAAGCUUGUUUACAACAAUUGCAUCAAGCCCAGAUUGUAAUGUUAUUAGUUGCAUGAAUAAGAUGGAGAAUGCCUUUUUGUUUACGGAAAUAGAGGGCUUGGCUAAACAGUUUUCAAUGUUAUAUUGCUGAAUUGACUGCUGAUGGCUAUCCUAUAGUUAAGUCGCUUAAAUUAUUGCCAAUAUACAGUGUAGACGUGCCUUGCGCAAAUGUGUACGCUGCUUUAUUCUGCCGAAUACAAUUCAUGGCUAUGCAUUCAAGAAAAUGGGCAUAUUGAUUACUUGUGAAGCAUGAUACUUUUAAAAGCAAAGCGACUCCAUGUUCUGUUCCAGAACAUGGAGUCGAUUUUAAAAGUAGAUUAGACUAUACAUAAAAAAUCACAUUGUACACGUUUUAAUGGUUUUAAAUAGACAGAAAGAGACUAAAGGAUGUGCGCUGUCUAAAGAAUAUUUUUGUCACCUUCAGCUGUGUUCCGAACAUCCACUGCUCGGUGGAGGCAUCCCCCAAGUCACGUAUACUCUUGUAAAUGGAGUCACAUGUGAUUGGGUACAUUUUGAGAAUCUAUAGACGUCAGUGGUGUGUUUUACAGGAAGAAUAAUUACAUAAAAAGACAUCUGUAAUGAAUGGCGCAUCCCGUAUCUCGUACCCUGCACAUGUUUGGGCCACCGCAGCCUCUGCUUUGUCUGUGAGUGCAUUGAUGUUCGCUACUGCUGAAAGAACUUGGAAUCUAAUCAUCAUUGUGCAUUGCUAAACUUAACUUUGUCUUUUGGGAAAAUAAACACUUGUACAUGUUUUAACGAUGAGUGUUUUAGCUGCUUUCGUGUUACCAUGCUUCUUGGGAAUAAUCAUGAUAGUCAUGAUUUUGGUAUAUAUAUGGUGCUUAAAUUCCCUGAACAACUCAAUGCGCCUUACAUAACGUCUCAUCUCAACACACUUGAAGGCCACCCUCAGUGGCAGCUGUCCCCGUGUGGCACAAGGUGACUCAGCACUAGCCUGCAAAUGGGCAUUCAUCUGUUAGUAGGGGACCAUGAUUUUUGCAUGUAAUACCAAUUGAAUAAUUUUCUGGUAAUUUAUUGGAAUUUGGCAAAUUUGCAUCAUCACACGAUGCCCGACUCAUUUCGAAUAACCUCUAUUGUGAAGCUGUCUGUACAUAUUUUUCAUACAGCUAAUACAUCCGCAAUAAUAACCAUGGUGACCUGCUGGAUACUAACCGUGAAUCUCUGUAACAGCGUGUACAACAUUCUUUGGUACGUGUCGUGACGGGUACUGCAAGAUCCGACCAUGUCCGCCCAGUGCUCGCUGAGCUGCAUUGGCUUCUGGUUGCCAAACGAAUACAUUAUAAGGUCGCACUCAUUACACACAAAGUGCUUGCUAUAAAUGAAACACAAUACCUUGCUGAUCUCGUCAAGGAGCAUAAACCAUCAUGCACACUGCGGUCAUUCUUGUAGCUGCUUUUGGUUAAACAUCGGAAAAGAUGGCCACUGCAUCGUGCGCUUUCAGAUGUGCUUCUCCAGCCAUCUGGAGCACGCUUCCUUCUGAAAUUAGGAAGUCACGUGAAGCGAUGCACUUCUAAAUCUAGAUUGAAAACCCAUUUAUUAAGAACUGAUUUUUGUGUGUAGUUUGUUGUUCUUCCCCGGUACCUCUGAUUUACAUGGUUGGCUACGUACGGUGUGAAAGAAUAUCAACGUAUAUUUUUUCCAAUAAGCGCUAAAUGCGCUCAUUACUGCUGGGCGCUGUCACCACCUCCUAAAGCAUUUUCUGGAAGUCCUUUAACUCAUGGUAAAUUGCCCAAUCCAUGGAGUGGGAGUAUAAUGAAUUGGACGAGUAUAAAGUCAACCUUGGUAAGUGUUUGGUUACUUGUUGUCACUGAGAAGCUUUGGUUGCUUUAGCAAUGUAAUCAGGCGAAUAAGUGUGUUAUGCUCGGUAAGUUCCUUGACAUUGGUUUUAGCAAGAUUUUGAUUUGCACUGGAACUGUCGAACUUGACGUCACGGCACCCAUGGAAACGGUUUGCUUGAAGCAUCACAGGAAUGCUGUGUUUAAAACAAAAGUGUUUAUUAUCAAUCCUUCAAUGAGUACAUCCAGUAUACAAGGAGUGGAAAAGUUCACCUCAUUUUAUUGAACACAUUUGCAUUUGUUCGUCAUAAUUGAAAUGCUUAAUUGAAAAUGGUUAAAAUUUUUAAAGUUCACCAUCAAAUUAUCAAAUCACCUUUAUUUACACCAAAUAUUAAUACUACAUAAAAUAAAGCCAUUGUUGAAUUUGAAAUGUAGCCAGUGCUCAGUGCUGUAAGAUUUGGAGGCCCAAUUAUUAAAGUAUUUUAUGGCCGGAGAGACCUGCUAUAGCUGAACACUAAGUUUCUUCAACCAAUCCAAGGAGGCAGUAGACGCUAUUCAUUACACAAUCAUUUAGGUAAAUUGGAGUCUCUCCUCAGUUCAUAUGAGAUGUGAACGUAUCAUUUAAAAAUUAUAUUAAAAUUACAAGUUGAAACGUACUCAUGAUGCAAGACUGGGCAUGUUCUACACCAAUUUGUUGGAAGAUCAAAGUCACAAAAAUGAAUGGGAGUUUCUGUGGAAAAUUAUACCAUGACCAAGUAUAAAACUAAAUGACGAGUUGGUUUUCUAGUAAUUGAAUGCACUUAUUUGUCAGUCAUGGCCCUAUAGGUGGAAGGUAAAUGUGCUGCAGAUGAACUCUUGUGAACUCCAUGAGGCUAUAUUGACCUAUUUUUUUAUGCUGGCCAAACGUUUAGGAAAAAUUUAGAGUACCCUUACCACCACACUUGACCUGCCAAUUGACUAAACGUGGUGUACCCAUUUAUACUGCUUGGUGGACAGAGGUGUGAGGAUUUGAGAAAUUAGCCCCUUUUUUUACUUGACAUGCCAAGAGAUCAAACUGGUGACACUCUGGAUUGCAAGUCCAGUGAGCUAACCAUUACACCAUGGCAUAAUUCUGUCAUGGCUUUAUAAGCCUGUUUCUUUAUAUAAAUCUCCUAAACACAACAAGGAUAGCUUUUAGUGCAUUUCCACUUGGCCAGUCCAUGAUGCGAUGAGAUGCUUCAUAACAUCUCGGGGUUACAGUUACACCACACUGUUUCUCUUGACGGGGCAGCAGCAUUCAUCCAUUUUCACUACCUCUGACAAGUCCAAUGCAGCGAGUUUGUUUAUCACCUAGACAUGCAUCCGAUUCAAAUCUUCUAAAGAGUCACUUUCAUAAAAUCUCUGCCAACUGGCUGCAGGGAUGCAGGGAUUACAAACCUAUGAUCACUUUCAAGCUAGUUUCAUUGCUCUUUCAUUUAAAGAUAUAACGGAUAAUUAUCAUCAGAGUGCUUCAACAUGAUGUGAACCACAUUUACAAAACUAUUCUUUUUCAAUAAAUACCGCAUUAAAAUACUGUAACGUUACGUAAUUUGCAUAAUGACAUUGUUCACCACACUCAUUACAUUACUGCUGCUUUUUUUGUAUGUAGUUCACUAAACAAUCUUACUGACCCACAUAGUUUGUUGAAAUUCACUUCUAUAGAUGGAACACACGACAUAGCGCAUCUCAGUCUAACAUCAUUAUUUACUGAUGGAAUGAAUUGCAAUUAGCAUUAGGAUCUUUCAUCGAAUGGUUUGGCAGUUUGUUAAACCACCACGACUGUUUGUAGGUUUUCACGAUUGUCCAGUGUAGCUCAUCGGGUUGUUUGGUGUGAUGUCUGAUAUUUCACUCCACAUGCUGAGAGCGUAAGUGUGCUGAGCGAAACGUUGGACGUCGCCCCGUGCAACCCCACGGUACUACCCAAAAACACACCAGAGAGUUGAUUUUUUUAAGCUGCCUCUUCAAAUCACGUUAUAUUGAAUUUCAUAUUAUGAUAGGUUUGUGGCUUGUAAUUCUUCUGUCAAGAUAGAGUCAUAAACGGUUCCAACUCUGUAUGGUUGAAGCAUGAUUUCUAAAGAUUGAAACCCAAAAUCUGUUAACAUUUUGCAUCACAUUCUUACAUAAAAAAAAUCGAGUGAAAUGCAUUUUUCUUUCGGUGGCCUUUAUCCCAAAGUUAUUCCCCUGAUGAAAAGCUUGUCAUGGGUUGCUGUGUGCAGAAAUUGCACAAGUGGAAAGAAUAUUGUAGAAAAAAAAA